GUAACUUUUUAUUCAACUAUCAAUUUGGUCUAUUAAAAAAAACAAGAAAAAAAGCAGAGAAGCGAGUAAUUCUCUAGCCAUGAUGGAGGCCAGAGGUUUCAGCUAGGCGUUUUUCAUGAUUCACAACGUUUCGGUUGGCAAAUCCCCAUCCCCACUGACUAUUUAUCAGGAAAAUGUCGCCUUUACUUAAGUAAAUUCAUGGUGAUAAGGCUAAAAUUCAUAAUGAAAAAGUUGAAGGAAUGAUUUAUCGUAGAAAAUCGACCAGUUAUUUGAAAUGAAAGUAUUGCGUCAUCGUUGAAUGCUUAAAACAAACAACUGCUGUUUGUACUAAAAGUACAAGCAGUUUUGGUUUUGCGUGAGAAGCCAUAUAAAAGAAUUGAGGGCCUGAUAGCAACCAUUGUUUUGCAAAUGAGAAACAUGUCAAGAUAGCAUUAUCAUUUACAUUGAAACUAAGUCACUUUCCUAGUGAACGCCAGUUGACUGGUUUGCAAUGCUAAGUGGAUUUUUUUUUGAUAAAUUACACGGUGAAAUUGCAAAAACCGUGAUAACUAAUGGACGACGCCACUGGGUGUAGUAUUGAUCAAAGCGACGCUCGCGUCGGCGUCGAAUCGCCUGCAGGCGCUCCCCUUUAUUACUGCAAAUGCAUUUUUCCGUCAAGGGAGCCGCAAAUAGAACGUCGCCGAGAAAAAUCCUGCUGCAAUGCGUUUCCUGCAGCAUUUGCCACCGAUCUCGCCUAAAAUCCAGUUGUGAAGUGCCUGAUAGUGGACUGCAUUUUACUGGCAGCAGGAUUUUUGAAUUAUGUCCGAAUCCAUUCCACAACGCUCCAAGAACAAAGUGUGUAGACGUUUGAUUUUCGAUGACGAUGACGCUCCUGAGAAGCAGCGUAAUGAAGACCUCGACCAUCUGGAUCAGCUAGUGGAUUUGGAAAAAUUGAACGCCACAGAGAAAAGUGAACAAAUGUCGCGGUGGAAUUUCGAUUUUGAUAACGAAAGACCCUUGGAUGGCGACUGGCAGUGGGAACGAGUGUCACCACCUAGUCCAAUCCAACAGCAGGAGCUGAUUAAGACUCUGGAAAUGGAAAAAGAGGACAAGCACAAUGACAGAACUGUCUAGUCCCGAUUAAGUGAGCCUGAACAUUGCCUCAAUACCAAUGUGCAAUUAUUUGUAUUAAUUUUUAGUAAGAGCUAGUCAAUCCACCAAGGGCUGUCUAAUAACUUAUUUAUUUAUUGUCUCUAUCUUUGUAGGAUGUACUUGUCGGUAAACAUGCGCCAGUAUUUUACCUCAUACAGCUAAAUGAACCAAAAAUCAUGUAUAUAAGAUUAGCAGAUAAGUAAUUUCAUACAUAUGAUAAAAUCAAGAUAUUUAUUGUGCAUUAGAUAGUAGUAUUUGUUUUCAGAUAGAAAAUUCACAAAUAAGAAAUGUUUGUAAAAAGA